rnacentral:rRNA from 1 species
AGGAUGAGUUCGCGUCUGAUUAGCUAGUUGGUGAGGUAAUGGCUCACCAAGGCGACGAUCAGUAGCCGACCUGAGAGGGUGACCGGCCACACUGGAACUGAGACACGGCCCAGACUCCUACGGGAGGCAGCAGUGGGGAAUUUUCGGCAAUGGGCGCAAGCCUGACCGAGCAACGCCGCGUGAGUGAAGAAGGCCUUCGGGUUGUAAAGCUCUGUUGUAAGGGAAGAAUGGCCAAGAGAGGGAAUGCUCUUGGAGUGACGGUACCUUACCAGAAAGCCACGGCUAACUACGUGCCAGCAGCCGCGGUAAUACGUAGGUGGCAAGCGUUAUCCGGAAUUAUUGGGCGUAAAGGGUGCGUAGGCGGUUUAUUAAGUCUAUGGUGAAAGUGCGGGGCUCAACCCCGUAUGGCCAUAGAAACUGAUAGACUUGAGUGCAGGAGAGGGCAAUGGAAUUCCAUGUGUAGCGGUAAAAUGCGUAGAUAUAUGGAGGAACACCAGUGGCGAAGGCGGUUGCCUGGCCUGUAACUGACGCUGAGGCACGAAAGCGUGGGGAGCAAAUAGGAUUAGAUACCCUAGUAGUCCACGCUGUAAACGAUGAAUACUAAGUGUUGGAGAAAUUCAGUGCUGCAGUUAACGCAAUAAGUACUCCGCCUGGGGAGUACGGUCGCAAGACUGAAACUCAAAGGAAUUGACGGGGGCCCGCACAAGCGGUGGAGUAUGUGGUUUAAUUCGACGCAACGCGAAGAACCUUACCAGGCCUUGACAUACUCGGCAAAGCUCUAGAGAUAGAGUGGAGGUUAUCCGGGAUACAGGUGGUGCAUGGUUGUCGUCAGCUCGUGUCGUGAGAUGUUGGGUUAAGUCCCGCAACGAGCGCAACCCUUGUUGCUAGUUACCAGCACGUAAUUGGGCACUCUAGCGAGACUGCCGGUGACAAACCGGAGGAAGGUGGGGAUGACGUCAAAUCAUCACGCCCCUUACGACCAGGGCCACACACGUACUACAAUGCCCGGUACAAAGGGUUGCGAAAGGGCGACCUGGAGCAAAACUCACAAAGUACGUCUCAGUUCAGAUUGGAGUCUGCAACUCGACUCCAUGAAGGCGGAAUCGCUAGUAAUCGCAGGUCAGCAUACUGCGGUGAAUACGUUCCCGGGCCUUGUACACACCGCCCGUC